AGAACGAACGCUGGCGGCAGGCUUAACACAUGCAAGUCGAACGCUCCGCAAGGGGAGUGGCAGACGGGUGAGUAACGCGUGGGAACAUACCCCUCGGUUCGGAAUAACUCAGGGAAACUUGAGCUAAUACCGGAUACGGUCGAGAGGCGAAAGAUUUAUUGCCGAAGGAACGGCCCGCGUCCGAUUAGCUAGUUGGUGAGGUAAUGGCUCACCAAGGCUACGAUCGGUAGCUGGUCUGAGAGGAUGACCAGCAUCACUGGGACUGAGACACGGCCCAGACUCCUACGGGAGGCAGCAGUGGGGAAUAUUGGACAAUGGGCGCAAGCCUGAUCCAGCCAUGCCGCGUGGAUGAUGAAGGCCUUAGGGUUGUAAAGUCCUUUUAACGGGAGAUAAUGACGUACCGUAGAAUAAGCCCGGCUAACUUCGUGCCAGCAGCCGC
rnacentral:rRNA from 1 species